rnacentral:lncRNA from 1 species
GCUUUUGGUAUAAAAUAUCCCUUAAGAACUUGUACAGGGAAUUCUUUAUCCUUCUGUGACCUUUUGUUUAUUGUAUUCACUGUUUUGUCCAUGAAUAUAUCUUCACCUCUUAAGUAGAUUAUCUAGGUAUGUUCAAACCAUGCGCAAUAUAACUUAUUGAAUUAAGCGAGAAGUUAUUUUCAUUCUAGUUGCCUCAUUUUGUUCGGAUUGUUAUAUGAACCCGUCUAGGCUUUGUAUCAUAUCGAUUGACUCUCAUUCUUAUCAUGUGCAUAAGUGUGUGCAUCAUUAUCAU